AGCUGGGAGUGGCGGGGCGGGUAGUGGCUUCCUUGUGGUUUUUCCAUUGAGGGUGGAUUUUCCCUGUGGGGAAGGACACAGUGUGCGUGUCUUGCCUUCACUGCCACCUCCUCCUUCUCUCAAUAUCCUCUUGCUGGGAGGAGGUUCCUAAUCUCCGUUAUUGCAUCCAGCUGCUGCUACUGCGAGUGCCACGUGCCUUGUAAGGCACGUACAAUUCAGAGGACUUUCGAAAUUAUCUGAAAACAUGGGUGAUUCUCACUGCCAGCCUUGAUCUGUGAGAAAAGUACGUAUCUAUGUCUGCACAGACACAAGAGAUAAGAAAUAAACCUUUAAUUUUAAA